UGUAUUUUUAUUAUUUCAAUCUUUUAUUAAGAUCAUCUUUAAUAUGUAUUUUAAUUUAUGAUUUAAAUAAAGUCGCGCCACUUUAGCCAAUAUGGCAACCGGUGGUCAGCACUUCUCAUUGGCUUAAAAAAACGUAUGCGCAUGGACCUACCUGUAUAUUUCUACCAUGUAUACAGAUUUAAUAUUAUAAAUCACAAUAAAUAAAUUGAUAAUUAAAAAUAAUGAUUAUAGAUAACAAUAAAUAAAUUGAUAAUUAAAAAAUGAAUGUCGAGGCUGGUAUUUUUUCAGAGCGUAUAAAAAAAACUGAAUAUAUAUGUUUAGUAGAGAAUUCUAUCAAUCUUACUGAAAAAAAAUUUUAAUUGAAUAUUUCAUAUAUUUUUAAAGACCAAUAAAUGCUUAAUCAAAAACAAAAACUUGGAAACAGUAGACCGUCUGUUAUUGUAGAAUAAAUUUAUAAAAAAUGAUCCAUAAUAAUAUGAUAAAAAUAUAACCACUGAAAUAUAAUAAAACUGGGAAGUGAACUUCGUGUCGCCGAGAGAGAAACUCAAUGGUUGGGAUGUUGUCCUUGUCGGUACAGUCACGUCAACUAUAAUUGGUUGAGACCAAGGUCUGUAGAUUAAUAGACGGCUGGGAUCAGCAGUCCAAUUCACAAGGCAAAUUUUUUACAAUUUAGGACUUUUUUUUGCCGCGGAUGGCGCUAGUAAAAUUUUUUUUAUAUAGAUUUCAUAUACAAAAGCUUCACAAGCGCCGCCAGUGGAGGAAAAAAGCCCUAAAUUGUAAUGUCCUGUGAAUUGGACUGCAGGUCGUCGCAUGACUCAGUGCGCAUGCGCGGUCAGCCAUGUUUGGUGCUGUUCCCCACUACUAAUGUUUACCACAUAAUGUAAACAAACAGUGUAUGGCAUGUCAAAAAUAUUUCCAAUUGAAAAUUUAAUCAUUUAUUUAUUGAAUGAAUAUUGUACGUCAAUGUUGUGCGAUCGGUUGCUUUCCCCAGAAAUUCAGAUCGUCGUUGAAAAUGAUCUACUGGUGCUGGUGUGAGCCAAAUAAAACCAAGCUCAAGGUUAUGUGAGGAUGGCUCAAAAAAAAUUAAAACCAAAUGCAGUACCAACUUUGUUUGAUGAUGUUUUGAUAGAUUAUUUGAGUAAAAUCCACCAAAAUAAAAGUAACUACAUGAUGUUAGUUGGACUCCAUUUGAAUCACUAAAGCAGUUGUCAACAAUAAACUUAGGUAAAUCUUUUUCCAGACCAUUGCUUGAUGUAAUUAUAGAUGAAUAUACCACUGACAACAAAAAGAGUUUAUUCAAGUUACCAGGGUUUGAAUUUAUUAAUUUAAAUAAUAGGUAUCUAAAUUCACGACCGCUAUUGCCGUGGUAGGAGAAAUAGUGGUGACGUCACACACUCACACAUAAAAAAAUAUAAAUUCUAUAUUAUCAACGCGAACGUCAGACAUAUGAUUCGUUUAUCGGACAAAACGGAAAGUGUAAUAUUGGGUAUAUUAUUCAAAAUCGUCAAUAAGCGAUACUUGCUAUAGUUGUAUAGACCUAGUUGGAUACAAAUAAUAUAGAUCACUAUUCACUAGUCAUGUAAUAUAUAUUUUUUGCAGAAUUAAAUUAAGAACUAUAAAUUUUCCGUAUUAAAAAGAAAUUAUAAAAUGGAUCCGCGUUUCGUGUAUUGAAAAAGAAACUUGAAUACUUUUUUAGAAUAUUUAAUAUUUUUUUUUUUAAUUUUUAU
rnacentral:lncRNA from 1 species